AUGCUUUAGUUUCUCUUCAAAACGUAUAAAUCUUUCGCCUUUUACUAAAGAUUUCCGUGGAGAGAAACAAUAAUGAGCUAUUGAAAAUUUUUUUAGGCUUCACUUCGGUGAGGCU
rnacentral:snRNA from 1 species